CCUACACAUGCAAGUCGAGCGGGGUUUUCGGACCUAGCGGCGGACGGGUGAGUAAUGCGUAGGAAGCUACCCGAUAGAGGGGGAUACCAGUUGGAAACGACUGUUAAUACCGCAUAAUGUCUACGGACCAAAGUGUGGGACCUUCGGGCCACAUGCUAUCGGAUGCGCCUACGUGGGAUUAGCUAGUUGGUGAGGUAAUGGCUCACCAAGGCGACGAUCUCUAGCUGGUUUGAGAGGAUGAUCAGCCACACUGGAACUGAGAUACGGUCCAGACUCCUACGGGAGGCAGCAGUGGGGAAUAUUGGACAAUGGGCGCAAGCCUGAUCCAGCCAUGCCGCGUGUGUGAAGAAGGCCUUCGGGUUGUAAAGCACUUUCAGCGAGGAGGAAGGGAGUUGUGUUAAUAGCACAGCUUCUUGACGUUACUCGCAGAAGAAGCACCGGCUAACUCUGUGCCAGCAGCCGCGGUAAUACAGAGGGUGCAAGCGUUAAUCGGAAUUACUGGGCGUAAAGCGCACGUAGGCGGUUUUUUAAGUCAGAUGUGAAAGCCCCGGGCUCAACCUGGGAAUUGCAUUUGAAACUGGAAAACUAGAGUGUGUGAGAGGGGGGUAGAAUUCCAAGUGUAGCGGUGAAAUGCGUAGAGAUUUGGAGGAAUACCAGUGGCGAAGGCGGCCCCCUGGCACAACACUGACGCUCAGGUGCGAAAGCGUGGGGAGCAAACAGGAUUAGAUACCCUGGUAGUCCACGCCGUANACGAUGUCUACUAGCUGUUCGUGGUCUUGUACUGUGAGUAGCGCAGCUAACGCACUAAGUAGACCGCCUGGGGAGUACGGUCGCAAGAUUAAAACUCAAAUGAAUUGACGGGGGCCCGCACAAGCGGUGGAGCAUGUGGUUUAAUUCGACGCAACGCGAAGAACUUACCUACUCUUGACAUCUACGGAAGUUUGCAGAGAUGCAGAUGUGCCUUCGGG
rnacentral:rRNA from 1 species